rnacentral:lncRNA from 1 species
GAUUUAAGCAUAGAGCAUUUACGAAAAUCAAAUAUAUAUAUAUAGGCUAAUGCUACUAUCCUAUUAAUAGGAUAGGAGUACUUGUCUUAUCAAGUUGUUCUUGAUGAUCGAGAUUCCGAAUCGAUGAUCGGAGCCGUUGAAGUUGAUCUAGAGUAUUUGAAAUAUCUAGAAACUAAAUUUCAUAAAUUUUGAUAAUGAUUUACAUAGUGAUCAAAGUGUCGUAAAAUCGACAAUUUUUGACGGACUAUAUGAGCUGUUUGUUUGUUUAACGGUGUAGAGCAAUCCAAAUUGCUUGAAUUUUUGAUAGAAAAUUCUUUAUACUAUUUAAAUAAUGUUUGAUAACUCUGAUUACGAACUGAGAAAGUCUAACCUCUAUUUUAAGAAGGUUAUUUAUUUAUGACCGUUCAUUUUUCAACUCUUAAGAUGAACUUGAUAAUGAUUUUUAAAUAAUACAAAAUUUGAUUUCUAAACAUUUCUAAUUGUGUAGAUCAACUUCAACGGUGCCGAUUAUCAAUUUGAAGUUCUGAUCAUUCAAAUCGACUUGAUAGGAUAAGGGUCCCAAUCCUAUUAAUAGGAUAGUAGCCGGAC